UACGGGGGGGGCAAGCGUUGUUCGGAAUUACUGGGCGUAAAGGGCGCGUAGGCGGUUUGCUAAGUUGAAUGUGAAAACUCUGGGCUUAACCCAGAGCCUGCAUUCAAUACUGGCAGGCUAGAGUUCUGGAGGGGAUAGCGGAAUUCCUGGUGUAGCGGUGAAAUGCGCAGAUAUCAGGAGGAACACCGGUGGCGAAGGCGGGUCUCUGGGCAAUAACUGACGCUGGAGGAGCGAAAGCGUGGGGAGCGAACAGG
rnacentral:rRNA from 1 species